GGCUCAGGACGAACGCUGGCGGCGUGCUUAACACAUGCAAGUCGAACGAAGCACUUUAUUUGAUUUCCUUCGGGACUGAUUAUUUUGUGACUGAGUGGCGGACGGGUGAGUAACGCGUGGGUAACCUGCCUUGUACAGGGGGAUAACAGUUGGAAACGGCUGCUAAUACCGCAUAAGCGCACAGCAUCGCAUGAUGCAGUGUGAAAAACUCUGGUGGUAUAAGAUGGACCCGCGUUGGAUUAGCUAGUUGGUGAGGUAACGGCCCACCAAGGCGACGAUCCAUAGCCGACCUGAGAGGGUGACCGGCCACAUUGGGACUGAGACACGGCCCAAACUCCUACGGGAGGCAGCAGUAGG
rnacentral:rRNA from 1 species